GGAAGAUGCCACGUUUUCAGGCCCUUCCAGAUAAAGAAGAGACCUGUGGUUAAAUAGACACACCCACCUUCAGAGGCGUGGCACAACCACCUGUUACUUCAGCCGGCCCUUCGGGGGUGGCCUCAACCUGGACACCCCCUCACAGGAGUGCUGGCAAAUUUUUCCCUCACCAGAUUUCCAGGGGUGGUUUACUGCCCUUUGGAACAGCGCUCCAGGCAACUGCCCGCAUGUCCUGGCCCUAAUCCAGCGUGCAAACGUAUUUGUCCGCAGAGAUGGGGUGUUCGCGGGGGUGAGAAUGGCACGCUGUGUGAGCCCAUCCUCCAGAGAAAGAGCACCAGUGGGGGCUGCGUGGAUCCACAGAAACAGAUGGAUGAGGAGGGGCUGGCUCGCGAGACUGUGGAGGCUGAGAAGGCCCACAGUGUGCCAUCUGCAAACCAGAGGCCCAGCAAAGUUGGCGGUGCAGCUCCAGUCCACGCCCGAGGCCUGAGAAGCAGGACACCAGUGUUUGCGGGCAGGAGAACACGGAGGUCCCAGCCCAGCGGGGAGCCAAUUCAUCCCUCCUCCACCUUUGUUCUAUUUGAGCCCCCAUGGAUUGGCGACGUCCUCCUACACUGCAGGUCCUGUGGACGUCUUCUGACCUGGGAAACCACACGGGUGGUGGUUCCUGGAGGAGAAACAGUGCUGAGGCUGAUGACGGGCAGUGCUGGCCUGCAGACCUGCGGGCCCUUCCGCCUUGCUGUGCGGUCUGCGGGGGGUCACCUCCUUCAGGAAGCCUUCCUGGAUCAGAAUGCAUCUGGGUGGAGAGCCCUUUGUCUGCAUUCGCACAGUGCCCUGCCCUUCCCUGCCCAGCCUGGACCGUGUCUGGACAUUAAUGCACCAAACUCAAGUUGUGGUUUCGUGUCUGUGUCUGGAGGCUGUGAGCUCCCUGAGGAAUCCAAGAAGGUGUGUGAGAAGGAAGCCUGGAGCUGGCAAGAGAAGGCGUGCUGGCUCUCUUCUCUCCACUCACAAGCUGCUGGAGCCGACACCUUCACCUGUGGGGAAGAAGGGAUCCCUGCCCUCCUUGGGAUGCCUAUGGUGUCCCACAGAAACGUCUGCAGGCACGUUCUCAAAGGACUGCAGUCCUUUCCAGGUUCUUUUGCUUCUAAAUCUCGGAGCCAGGGGGUGAUGAAGUCCUCGCGGGUGGAGGAGUCGGCAGAGGUCCUGCGGCUCGAGAGAAAUCCCGUCGUGCCUAGAAGCCACGUGUCCUGCCUUCGUGUCCGGAAGCCGGUCCUCCCUGUCACAGAAUGGACUGGAAUGUUUCAUCAAGCAAUUACACAAAGGAGUCAGACUUGUUCCAAAACGGAGGAGACAGCCGGCAAAAAUUAAUGUGCAUGUAUGCACUGUUUGCCUCCACACUUGACGUAGGAGACAUCCCCUCUUCUGAGCGGCUAGCGGUGGGGAGGAAGAGGCAGGAAGAGCUUUGCCCUAGCACAGUGAGCCCAGAGUGGGCAAGAAGCAUCUCCUCCGUCUGCCAUCUGCCCAGGAAGUGUCCUCUGGGCUCCUGGCCCAUCUUCGUGCCCUGGGAGCCUCUUACUUAAGCCCCUCUGAAGCCCUGUGUUGCUUGCCCUCCACCUCCUGAGACUGCAGUCUUCCACACGCUUGGGCAUCCAUCUCCUGAGGCUGCAGUCUUCCUCACGCUUGGGCGUCCAUCUCCUGAGGCUGUGGUUUUCCACACGCUUGGGUGUCCAUCUCCUGAGGCUGCGGUCUUCCACAUGCUGUGCGGGUGCCUAUGCGCCUUGCAGUCCGGGGGCAGCAACACUGGCUUCAUUCCUAGUGCCUGCCAGUCUGUGAGCCUUGUAAAUCCACCAAGCUGGGAGCACUCUGAUUAUACACAGACAUCUUCCCUGGUGAAAAGGGUCUUGAGUAGUCAACUUGCCACCAAGUGCCUGAUUCAUCUCCUCAAAAGAUGGUCCAAAUAUGGGGCUCACCCUUGAUUCCUGUUGCUGGAGAAAAGGAGAGUCAGGAGGGGAUCCUGAGAAGAGCCAGCAAAGUCUCGUGAGGACCUGACUCAUCUGAGGCCUCUGCGUGCUGCUAGGCAAGGGGUGUGCUCACAAUCUUCGAUCACGGGUAACAGGCCACUUCUGCAGGCCCAGCAGUGCGGGGAAGCUGGGAGUUCAAAAUUCUCAGAAGUCAGUCCAGAUCUCAAGACUCAGAGUCCCACUCCUUUUCUGGUAUGGCCUUGACCUUGAGGUAGGAGACCUGCAAGCUGAGAAUUCAACCUCCUCUGAGGCUCUGCUGCCCUUACAUGGUUAAGUCCUGAACCUGGCCCUUCGCGCUGACGGCCUUCGGCUGCAAGAGUUAAAGUUUCCGUAAACACUGCAAAGGAAAUCCUGCUUUCACAGCUUGCCUUGAGUUGUCAACUAAUUACCAUAAGUCUGAUUCAUCUUUCUUCAGUGAGUACAUCCAUGGCACUCAGUCCAGCCACCAGCUCCACAGUUGUCUUGCCUCUCCGGUGCUAGAGACGUGCCCGAGCUGGGUGGCACCUUCCAUUUGUGUCCGAACACGGUUAACUUUGGUAGACAGUUUGCAGCUGCCUUGCUCCAGCACACCAGAGACCACUCCUACCGCACUGACCGCUGGUGAUGGCAUCCACAUUGCCAACUGGCCAGACAGUAAUCACCUCCAAACUCCCAUUUUACAGUCGGCCUCCUGGGAUUUCCUGGUAUGAACUGGCUUAGAUUGGGUUCCCUGGAAACAGAUGAAGAGAUGUAGAAUUUCGUCCAGGGGUCACUGGGGAGUGCUCUUGGGAGAAAUACCUGUCAAAAAAAAAGUGAGAAAGGGAAGAUUGGUGAAGAGAAGGAGCCGCAGCAGCAGGAGCAGCUGGCCUCGAAUCCUGCGGUUUCCACUGAGGAGUCAGCCCUUCCCAUGGGGAGCCUGGAGCUUGGACGGCCUCUCAGUGUUUCCCCGGUUGAGGCCAAGGUGCUGAGGCUUUGGGUUCCCACAUCAGCCCAUCCUUGGCCCAGCUUGUCCCUUAGGAAGGGUGUAACCUUGGGAAGGCAGUACCUUGCAGCUGAGGGCAACUCCCCGUGAGGGAUGCAGCUGUGAAUUGUCAGCAGCCAGCGUUCUCAGCAGCUGGGAACUGGACGACAUCCCGAUGAGGGACUCUGAGGAGAACACCAGAGUGUCCGCUGCAGGCACCCUAAGCUCGUGCUUCCCACUGAGCAAACAGGAAGGGCUGGAGUCAGGAAAAGUGGAGGAGCAAAGACAGUGUGUUGGAGGCGGCAACAUCAAUUUCACACCUGUGUGGGUUCUCACACAUUACUCUGUUUGAUCUUGGACAAGUUAAUCAGCCUCUUUGUACCUACGCGCCUCCAUCUAUAGAAUGACAUUACUGACGAGUAAAGACCUUGAAAUGGUGCCUCGCUUAUUGUAAAUACUCAGAAAAAUGUUGUUCCUAUUGCUAUUGGUAUUGUUUUUAUUGCUAUUUUUCAGCAGUCCAAACUUAUUUUCCAGCUACAUUUCACUUCCCGUCACCCUCUAACCUGGCCCUUCGCUGCUUUUCUCCUAAAACAAAACCUUUCCUUCUAUCUUGCUGAUUUCUUCUCUUUUUCUUGGAAGGUGCCACACCCCAAGCUUACCCAUCUCCC
ensembl:lncRNA